UGGGGAAUAUUGGACAAUGGGCGAAAGCCUGAUCCAGCCAUGCCGCGUGUGUGAAGAAGGUCUUCGGAUUGUAAAGCACUUUAAGCUGGGAGGAAGGGCAUUAACCUAAUACGUUAGUGUUUUGACGUUACCGACAGAAUAAGCACCGGCUAACUCUGUGCCAGCAGCCGCGGUAAUACAGAGGGUGCAACCGUUAAUCGGAAUUACUGGGCGUAAAGCGCGCGUAGGUGGUUUGUUAAGUUGGAUGUGAAAUCCCCGGGCUCAACCUGGGAACUGCAUUCAAAACUGACUGACUAGAGUAUGGUAGAGGGUGGUGGAAUUUCCUGUGUAGCGGUGAAAUGCGUAGAUAUAGGAAGGAACACCAGUGGCGAAGGCGACCACCUGGACUAAUACUGACACUGAGGUGCGAAAGCGUGGGGAGCAAACA
rnacentral:rRNA from 1 species